UUGCCUUCAACUUUACUUGUUUCAGUCUCUGCGCAGACAGAGAACUGGCAACUCUUACGAGGAAAGAUGGAUCUGAAGUUCGAUCCAGCCUCCAAGACGAGCGACCUCCUGCCGUGAUCGAGUUUGGAGUUCUUAUCACCACCACCACGCACAUCGGUCAUCUCGUCCUGUAUGACUAAGCCCAAGUUGGCCGCCGAUUACUGCAAGUAAGCGUUGCCUCUACCCGCUGUCCACGAACCCUUCGUUGUGGCCAUGGUCGCGACGAGAGCAGGCUGAGAGAGCUAGCGAGAUAAACUCUAUUCAUCG
rnacentral:lncRNA from 1 species